rnacentral:rRNA from 1 species
CCUACGGGAUCUGCAGUGGGGAAUAUUGGACAAUGGGCGAAAGCCUGAUCCAGCCAUGCCGCGUGUGUGAAGAAGGCCUUCGGGUUGUAAAGCACUUUCAGUGGGGAAGAAAGCCUUGGGGCUAAUACCCUCGAGGAAGGACAUCACCCACAGAAGAAGCACCGGCUAACUCCGUGCCAGCAGCCGCGGUAAUACGGAGGGUGCGAGCGUUAAUCGGAAUUACUGGGCGUAAAGCGCGCGUAGGCGGUCUGAUAAGCCGGUUGUGAAAGCCCCGGGCUCAACCUGGGAACGGCAUCCGGAACUGUCAGGCUAGAGUGCAGGAGAGGAAGGUAGAAUUCCCGGUGUAGCGGUGAAAUGCGUAGAGAUCGGGAGGAAUACCAGUGGCGAAGGCGGCCUUCUGGACUGACACUGACGCUGAGGUGCGAAAGCGUGGGUAGCAAACAGGAUUAGAUACCCUAGUAGUC